rnacentral:rRNA from 1 species
AUGUCUCUUCCGAAUCACAUUAGUCAAAUCACCCUCCUCCCUAACCAAGACGACACCAUCCAUUGGAACUUAACCACCUCGAGGACAUACUCGGCCUCCUCUGCCUAUGGCGCGCAGUUCCUUGGCUCCUACUCUCGUUUCGACACAACCAAGGUCUGGUCUGCAAACGCUGAGCCCAAGUGCAAGUUCUUUGCUUGGCUUGCUCUACACAGAAGAAUCCUCACUACGGAUAUGCUGGCUGUGAGGGGAUGGCCUCAUGAGCCCAGAUGCAUGCUCUAUCUCCAGCAGCCUGAAACAGCAACUCACCUCUUCAAAGACUACCCCUUCAUGGUCGGUCUGGAACCAGGUGAACACCUGGACUAA